GUCUCCGUGGCGCAAUCGGUUAGAGCCAUCUGCUGAUAACUCAGAGGUUGGUGGUUCAAGUUCACCUUGAGACA
rnacentral:tRNA from 1 species